AUUGAACGCUGGCGGCAGGCCUAACACAUGCAAGUCGAACGAGUGGCGGACGGGUGAGUAAUGUCUGGGAAACUGCCCGAUGGAGGGGGAUAACUACUGGAAACGGUAGCUAAUACCGCAUACCAUCGGAUGUGCCCCGAUGGGAUUAGCUAGUAGGUGGGGGAACGGCUCACCUAGGCGACGAUCCCUAGCUGGUCUGAGAGGAUGACCAGCCACACUGGAACGGAGACACGGUCCAUACGCCUACGGGAGGCAGCAGUGGGGAAUAUUGGACAAUGGGCGCAAGCCUGAUGCAGCCAUGCCGCGUGUAUGAAGAAGGCCUUCGGGUUGUAAAGUACUUUCAGCGAGGAGGCGUUACUCGCAGAAGAAGCACCGGCUAACUCCGUGCCAGCCGCGGCGGUAAUAC
rnacentral:rRNA from 1 species